UCUCUCCAAUAUUCAAUAAGCUUUUGUGGCGUACUAAUUUCUUCACUGUCCUUCAGAUAUUCUUUCAAUGGCCUUUCUUAUUCUUCAGCUAUCCCAUGAAAGUUUGGAAGUACAUUUUUGGAAAUUCCACAGCCACCUAUUUUCCUUGGUAAGUAGAAUCUGUCAAUGUCAUUGUUGAGGAUGAAGGACAUGCUUCAUUGUAAUUAUUUUUCUGGUCUUCCUAUCUAGGGCUUUUAGUGGAGUGCUUUGAGUCCAGUCCAUUAUUCCAGCUGUGUAUCUAAUGACUGGAAUUGCCCAGGUGUUGAUUUGCAUUGAUAUGACUUCCUUCAUUGAGCUUGAACUUUUAGAUCUUCUUCACUCUCAUGGUGUAUUCACUUCUAACAUUCUUUUUGAUUUCAGUUUGCUUGAUGUUGUCAGCUUGAAGAAUGCCCAGCUAUUCAUAGUAAUCUUCUUCAUUCAGAUUCUUGAUGUUAUUUCCAUCAGGCAUCUUGAUUCCUUCACUUUUUAAUAUUUUUCCUCUCUUGAUAGUAAGUUGGCACCUUUAUCUAAUCCAAAGUUCAUAUAUGGGCAGUGGGAUAGCCUGGCAGAUGUUUUUGAUGUUUGAUAGCCAUGAACCGUUCAGUAUUGUUGACAGUUGCAUUGAAUCAUUGCAUUAGUGUGAUAGUAUCCUUGAUAGUAUACUCUCUUAAUAUUAACCUCUCCCAGUCUAUCACAUUGACCAGCAAUUACAUCUUCCAUUGUGUCAUUGAUCUUUGCACAAAACUCCUGAUUUGUGUACUGACUUCUGUUAUUUUUAGGCAUUUUUAUUAUCCUAUCACAUGGCAGGGAAUCAAAUGCUUAUUUGCAAUCAAUCCAAGCCAACCAAUUCCUCUCGGUUUUCAGUCCAAGUUACAUUCAAGAUGAUCUUCCUUCUUGUGCAAUUUUAUAAAAUAAUUUUGUCAAUUAGGAGCUUCUCUGUUGUUAGGACACUUUUCUUUCUGCCCAUGUUGAAAAGAGCGUUUUCAACUAGAUGCAGUCCAACUACAACCUUAGUUAGCAAAUUGAAAGGUAAUUGGCCUGUAGUUGCCUGGGGCUGCCUCUUUUGUUAAAUCUUUCAUUGUAUCAGGUAGGUUCUGCCAGAUGUUAAUCAAUCUUCAAAUUCACUUCCUUAUAGUUUGCUCUUAAUUGCUUGGCAACGAGUGUAUGUAGACCAGCCAGAUGUUUCAACAAAAAACCAUGCAGUUUAUCUUCACAUGAUGCUGACCAAUUGUUGAUUUUCCCUACCUUUUUCUUCACCAUUUCUGCUGUUAUUACAAAAUCUUACAUUUCAGCUUUAUAAAAAAAUUCAUAUCCACCUCUUUUAUGCAAGCUGCUUUUUUAAAGAAUAGAAUAGAAUGUUGUAUGCUUUUUGUUGUAUUUUUGAGGGUUGUCCCACAACUAUGCUCAGAAUUGUAUGUUUCUUCUUUAUUGUUUGAUUACAGUUUGUUCAUUGACAAUGUUUCAUAGAAACAUUUCUGAUUCAAUUGAAAUUGGAGAUUCUGCCUAUAGUGUGCAAUCAUACUUUUUAUAUGCUGAAUUAUUUGGCUACUGCUGUUAUUUGCUCUUUAUAUUUCUAAUGCUUCCUUGAUUUCUGUUCCUCUAGAUCAGGGGUGUCAAACUUGCAUCAUCACAGUGGCAUCACAUGACGAAUCGGGACUUUUUCAACCUUUGCUAAACCGGGCAGGGGCAUGGCCAGUGCAUGAUGCAUCUGGGCCACGGACCGUGAGUUUGACAGCCCUGCUCUAGAUAAUACUUCUUGAUCAGAUAUGCUUUGGUCUUCUUCAAUUUCUUCUCUUUCAUUUGUUCCAGCUUGCUUGCAUCUGAUCUUAUUUUCAAUCUAUUUUUGUGGCACGCUGGCUCUUUUGUUUUUAUUAAUUUUGCAUCCGAAAUAUUCAGUUAUAACUGCUAUAUAUUAGCUGAUUUGUUUCUUGCAGUGAGCUGGUGCUUAUAUUUCAUAUUAUAGUAUUUUAAUAUUUAUGCUAGCUAAUAAGCUUCAGUGCUGGCAACAUUAUUCUGCUAUUUUUGUGUUGUUCCAGAUGUUCAAUUUUUUUUUUGUUUCAAUUCAUUUUGCUUUUUAUUUAGAGGGAUUUGUUCUUUCUUUCUGAGGAGAAGGCAGAGGAAACAGUGAUUUGUUCAGGAAUGAGAAUGAAUGAAUACCUAUACUAGUUUCAUCUAUGACCAACUCCCCAUGGUAACUCACAGUAUGAGUUACUUCUGGUGAGGCUUCAGUUUCUUUGCCCUAAGUAGAUCUUUUGCAAUUCUUCCAAUUCUAUGUAUGUGAAUAUUUUAUUUUGUAUUAUAACUCAGUGCUGAUCUGCUUUAUCUGUUCUAUUAUUUCUUAUUUUAGACGUUGUUUUCCCCUGAACUAUGUGUUCUCUUCAGAAAUUCUCUUUUCAUUGGGACUUGAUUUAUAAUAACAGUUCAUUCAAUCUUUCAAUAACAUUCUUUGUUUUCAAUCUUUGUAUAUUUGCAAUGGAUAAACAAUUUUUCCUCUAGUAGACCUGCACUUGGUGGUCCUGGUUGCUUAGCCAAAAGUCCUGAGUCCUGUAAUCCAUUUGUAAUCAGAUGUCCAGGAACUCCAACGUCUAGUGCAUUGUUGACCCAGGCAAUGGUCAAUCUUGUAUGGGUUUCUGUAAAUUACAUCUCACCUUAUUGUUAGUGGGUAGUGGGUAAGAAGCAAUUACUUUUAAUUUUAGAUGCUUAAUUAAUAAGGCAAUCACAGCAGUAACACAUAUUUAAUUGCUAAAGCAUAUUUUUCCAAUUUAAAAAAUUGUCAAAAAUAUAGCAAUGCUCAUCAAAACAAUUACAAUUAAACAAGUUUUCAUUCAAAGAAUAUGUUAAGUUCAUAGCUGGUAUUUUCACAAAAAAUUUCCACUACAAUAAAUGUAUAGUUUCCUAACACAGUUUUGCCCAUUUUUUUCAAUAUUCAAAAACAGUAUUUACAACUGAUUUGAAA